CCUACGGGAGGCAGCAGUGGGGAAUAUUGCACAAUGGGGGAAACCCUGAUGCAGCGACGCCGCGUGAGUGAAGAAGUAUUUCGGUAUGUAAAGCACUAUCAGCAGGGAAGAAAAUGACGGUACCUGAGUAAGAAGCUACGGCUAAAUACGUGACAGCAGCCGCGGUAAUACGUAUGGCGCACGCGUUAGCCGGAUUUACUGGGCGUAAAGGGAGCGUGGGCGGCCUGCCAAGUCUGCUGUGAAAUACCGGGGCUCAACCCCGGGGCUGCAUUGGAAACUGGCAGGCUGGAGUGUCGGAGAGGCAGGCAGAAUUCCUAGUGUAGCGGUGAAAUGCGUAGAGAUUAGGAGGAACACCAGUGGCGAAGGCGGCCUGCUGGACGGUGACUGACGCUGAGGCUCGAAAGCGUGGGGAGCAAACAGGAUUAGAUACCCCGGUAGUC
rnacentral:rRNA from 1 species